AGGAAUGUAAAUGAAAGCGGAUGGCGCAUGGCUCAAGUGUCUUCCUAGCAAGCGGGAGGCCCUGAUUUUAAAACUCCGGUGCCACCAAAUAAGUAAUGAAAUACAUAAUUCAUCAAAUGCUCUGCACGCACAGUGUGAAGAUUGGAACAAUUUGGCUUUAAUGACAGGCCUGUAACAUAGACCCAAGUAUUCUCAUUUCAAAGUUGAGGUAAUUAAGGCUCAAAGAAGUUGAGUAACUUGCCUCAGAUUGCCAACCGUACUAAGGGGCCCAGGUCCUGGGCCCCUUAAGAGUCCAUGCUCUAGUUCUUCCAUCUAUGUUGACCCUGUGCUACCAUUAGCAAAUCAGUGUUAGAAAGAGAGAGAGAGUGUGAACAGAAACACCCAUGUCAACACACUGUGGGGAAAGCAGAAUUCACUCAGAGA